rnacentral:rRNA from 1 species
AUUAGCCAUGCAUGUCUAAGUAUAAGCAAUUAUACAGCGAAACUGCGAAUGGCUCAUUAAAUCAGUUAUCGUUUAUUUGAUAGUACCUUACUACAUGGAUAACCGUGGUAAUUCUAGAGCUAAUACAUGCUGAAAACCCCGACUUCGGAAGGGGUGUAUUUAUUAGAUUAAAAGCCAAUGCCCUUCGGGGCUCACUGGUGAUUCAUGAUAACUUCUCGAAUCGCACGGCCUUGCGCCGGCGAUGGUUCAUUCAAAUUUCUGCCCUAUCAACUUUCGACGGCUGGGUCUUGGCCAGCCGUGGUGACAACGGGUAACGGAGGGUUAGGGCUCGACCCCGGAGAAAACGCCUGAGAAACGGCGUUUACAUCCAAGGAAGGCAGCAGGCGCGCAAAUUACCCAAUGCCGACACGGCGAGGUAGUGACGAGAAAUACUGAUACAGGGCUCUUUUGGGUCUUGUAAUUGGAAUGAGUACAAUUUAAAUCUCUUAACGAGGAACAAUUGGAGGGCAAGUCUGGUGCCAGCAGCCGCGGUAAUUCCAGCUCCAAUAGCGUAUAUUAAAGUUGUUGCAGUUAAAAAG